rnacentral:lncRNA from 1 species
CUCCCCCGCCCACCGCCUCAGCAACCAACCUCCAGGGAGGGGAAAGGGGGCAGAAGUUUGAGUUAAUAACUAAUAGCUAAAGAUGUAAACAAUAAGCCUCCAUAAAACCCCAAAAGGACUGGACUGGUUUCUGAGAGCUUCCAGGUUGUUGAGCACGUGGAGGUUCUGGGAGGGUCCACACCCAGAGAAGGCAUGGAAGCUGACCCCUUCCCCAUACCUUGCUCUUUGCAUCUCUUCCAUUUGGCUGUUCCCGAGUUGUAUACUUUGUAAUAAGUGGGAUUUCCACCCAACAACAAUUCAGCCACACUGCUUCACACAUCUAGAAUCCAUCCAAAAUUGUAAAGGCUUUGUGGCACUACAGUGAAACAGGCAAGAACAUCUUCCAAACAUCCAGCACAAGAGCACACAGGAGGCCGGCAUAAUCACGAAUUGCAGCUGUCUGAAGGGCAGUCACAUAAAAGAGGAGAAGCUUCACCUUUGCUUCACAAGGCACAUCUUGAACCAGGGAUGGAAAUUACAGAGAGGCCAAAACCAGCUCGGUGUGAGCAGGACUGGUAACAGACUGGCCAAGCAACAGAAGGGGCUGCCCUGUGAAGAAGCAAGCUCUCUGUCAAUGGGAGGUGCAAGCUGAGCCUGCACUACCUUUUGUCACGGUUGCUAUGGAAAAGAUUAAGAGCCCGGAUAGCCCUUCCUCCUCUGGGGGCCUGGGCAUCAGCAAGUCGGAUGGCAGUGGAAGGUGGAGAAAUGGAAUCCUGCUGGGGGCUCAGGAGGCCUGCCCCCUGAUGCUGCCGUGCACUGCAGAUGUCCUUGAUGAAGAGAAUGAAUGGAAGCUGUCUUUCUCAAUGGCAAAAGGGCAUACUGCUGUUAUUGUCAGUGAGGGGUCAGUAGUUUAAAUGAUGAAACUCUGGGGAUCAGCGUAAAGUAAACCAACAUACUGCAUGUAAGUAUCAAGUAAAUGAGCAGAGACAGCCCCUGGUUUACAAACACCUGACUUAAGCAUCGUCCAUCCUACAGGACAGGGAAGGAGGAAGAAGCUUCGAGAGGCUGGAACAGUUGAGGGAGCGCUGACACGGUAAAGGCCACUUUGCUCAUCAUCACCAGGCGUGCUGCCGAAAAUUUCCACUCUGUUUACUCCCAAGACCUUACUCCUACUAUGUGGAGACACAUUUGAAUAAAAAAUUGGCCUCUUUUCAAAGUCAAAAUUCUG